GCGCGCGCGGGUGUAGGGCCCCGAAGGCCGCCGCGGAACGUUCGUCUCCCUGCCUGGCGCGCGCCCGGGGGGACCUUCUCUGCCGCCCCCGCCCGGAGCCGCAGGCAGCAGGGUCCGGCGCGAGCUGGGGGCGGGCAGCGGCGCUGCAGGCUGCAGCGUAACAUUCAUGUUUUGCUCCAGAUCAUUCCGUCCUUCCAGCGACCAGGGAAGGGAAAUGGAUGCAGUGGAGCCGGUUGAGGGGCCGGUGACCUUCGAGGAGGUGGCUGUGUAUUUCACCAAGGAAGAG